CACUACACAAAAAGCUUGAGUCAUGUGUUGACCUACCCAUUGCUGACUGAUAAUCACCAAGCUACUUCCUGAUAACACUGUCUCAUACUUCUACCGUACUGGCUGUGACACACACACACACACACACACACACACA